UGCCGGAGCCAUACACAGCCGCUUGGCCGCCGCUCCCGGCCUUCGGCCGCCGCCACCUUGGAUCCCUCCGGUUCCGUUGGUAUUCGUCGAGGCGCCGGAAGAAGCCAAACGGCGUGGCCUGGCGCCACCACCGGUCUGGGCAUGGGGUGGGGAAAGUGAGCGUAUGGAUCGAUCCACUGUCACCGAGGCUAUGAGGCUUUGGUGUCUGGUUCCAAUCUUGUUAUAGACUCAUAGGCAACUAGAUUUGAUGGUGUUUACGAACUAGUACGUCAGUUUAAUGCUCUUCAUAGUCGAUUUAAUCCGCUAUGAUAGCUCCUGCUUGAUGAAAGUGAGUUAACUUUUCUCCCAAUUUAUGUGCGCGCUUCGUAGUUGAUCUAAUUACCCGGUGCAUGGUUGAGUGAAAAUUAUUACUACUACAGUUUCUCUAUUAUGUGGACUUUGACAAGAUGACACUCCUUUCCUUUGCCUUUGCCCCAUAAUCACCACUUCCUUUUUCUUGGUAAAAAUGAUCACAUGAUGGGCCCAUGAGUCUAUCGACUAGUCUAGACUAGUUGCUCGGCUAGUCUAUGAGUCUUAACUUCACUGUCGACUAGCUUGUUCGGCUUGACUAGUUCGUAGAGUUGAGUGGUCGAGCGACUAGUCAUGGACUGAUCUAGAUUAGUUGUUGUAUUUGAGUCGAUCGACUCAAUUUGGGCAUAAAUAAGUGAGGGCGCUCAGCCUGCGGGAUGGAAAGUUAGAACAAUAGCUAUUUUCAGGCUUGCACUAGAACGAGCCGCCUCACCUGGAACCAGGCCGCCGCCGCCAUCCGCCAUCCGCUGACCAUCCGCGGCCGGCGGUGGCUAGAAGCAUUGCGGCGCCCUCCCUCCGCUGGUUCUGCGCCUAUCUGGUUGCUAUAUAUGUACUAGCUACUGCUGAAGUACAUGUCAACUAGUCGAGUAGUAGUCUAGACUAGUCACGACUAGUCUAUAAGCUGGUACCCUGACGACUCGACUCGGCUUGACUCGUCGACUCGUAAUCCUUGGGUGGGAUAUUCUGAGCAUGAUAAGGUUGUACCACCCUCCGCUACUUCACGUCUUCACCUAAAACAAACAACUAUUUCUCUUUCCAUCCAUCAAGAAAGAAGGUCGGAAAACUGCCAACAGGUACUACUUCUCAACGUUUGGGUAUUUUUCUUAGAUAAUUAGGUUUUGUUACCAAUCCAUCCAGAGCUGCGCCCUCCGGCUUCAUGGUGCACUCUGCCUACCCAAACACGCUAGUGCUCCUCCUCUACUCUCAUCUAAUGACCAUAGUCUAGGGUUUGUAAGUGCAUUAGCGAUGGAGUUUGAGAGAGUGGGAGGAAAAUAAGAGAGAAACUGACCUAGAUACGGUGGGAAGGAUGCGACGUGGUCCGGUGGUGAGGCGAGCUCGAAGGCGAUGGGCAUGACAUGGCAGUGGUCUUCUCUCUUCCUGUUACUCAGUACAUGAGCGAGUGGCUCAAGCUUGUGACCCAAAUCGAUCUAUUGAAUUGGCCAGAACUAGAGGCUAGGAGUGUGUCACUUUGUCAAAUUGCUUUAUUAGCUGUAACACGGUCGUAUUGUUGGCAAUGAGUAACACCUAGUAGAACACGACUGCGUUGAUGGGUCAAUGAGGUAGUCCUGCACAUACAGGUUACCUUUGGUUGCCAAUUCCAUAACAUGGACCCAACGGCCAACAAAGUUAAUAUUACUCCUAGCCUCUAGUUUCAUUACUAAUAUCUCUAGCAUUUUUUUCUCUCAAUAUAAUUCGACAUUUUGUUGAGAUUGUAUGCAUAUCUCAUUUACAUAUCCAAGAGUACGUGCUGAAAGAAUUAAUAAAUAACUUCUUCAAUUUUUUUGAUUACCUAAGAAUGUAACUAUUCAUCAUAUUUGUUAAUUGUGGUAACUAACUGGUACAAUCAAAAAAUAAAAUUAUGAAGAACCUUCUGCGGUGGCCUGGUGAUAAAAACAGAGGCAAACCGUAGUGAAAACCUGAUGCUGCCAUUACAAUUUACAUUUUUGGUAUGUUACAUGCAUGCAUUGCCUUAAGUUUCCCUCAUAUGGUCCUCUUCCCUACAUGCUAAUAGCCUCUUCUGAUUCGCCGAUAGCCCAAAACUAUGUGGCCUCAUCAUCACCUGCUGCUAUCCAUGUUCAUCUCAUCUGACCCAGGAUCUGAGUAGAGCAAAGGCAUCAGUGGCUUUUCCAGGUCCAGAUCAUAACUCUCCUGUUACUUGACUUGUUUUGUUACAACCAUGGAAGAUUCCUAUGGUGUUGAUACAUCAUCAUUGUUGAAACUGUAUGGUGCGGAGCUCGAGCAGGUUGUGCUCGUGCUGCUGACCUGGGCGGCUUCAUACUCCUGUCCAAGACUCCGCAGCCUGCUCAGCUCGGGCAAGAUCUCUUUCCCAAGAUCUGGCCUAUCCUUCUUCCGUAGCUCUGCGCACUUCAAAGCUAGCUGUGUGAAUGCCAGGGCCUCUUCCACUGGCCAGUCCGUCACCGUCGGGUCAAGUACCUCUUGGAAAGCUCCUUUCUCGAUGGCAUGCUCGACUUGGUGCGUGAGGCCCAUGGGUGACCUGGCCGUGAUGAUUUGGAGCAGCAGGAUACCGAACGAGUAUAUGUCGGACUUGGUGGUGAGCAUGCCUGUCUGCUGGUACUCAGGGUCAAUGUAGCAGAAUGUGCCGGCUGUGGAUGUCAUCCUGUACUGUGUGACUUCAGCUAUGGACUGUGGCACCAGCCUUGCGAGGCCGACGUCUGCAAUCUUGCUGACAAAGUUGUGGUCCAGGAGGAUGUUACCAGGCUUCAGAUCUCUGUGGACAAGUGGUUCUGGCUUUGCUUGGUGGAGGAAGAGAAGGCCGGUAGCGAUGUCGGCAGCGAUCCUGAAGCGGAUGUUCCAUGGGAUUGGUUUGGUGUUGCCUUUUCUACAGAGCCGAUCUUCUAGGCUUCCGUAGUCCAUGUACUCGUACACCAGGCAGCCAUACUCUGGGCAAGCUCCAAGCAAUAGGACCAUGUUUGGAUGCCGCAUACUGCUAAGUAUUUCAAUCUGUAAAGUAUUAAUUAGCAUGCAAUUAGAUUAAUCAUGGCUUCAUUUACAUAAUUAAAUUGCAGCUAAAGAAUGAAUUGGUAAAUAAGGACCAGUACAAGGAUAUGGUGUCCCCCUAAACACGGGAAAGAAAACCUACUUUCUGAUAGUGAACAUAACUGUUUCCCGUAAAAUAAACGAUAAUUGCGUGGCGUAAUUGCAAUGGUUUUUUUUUAUAGUUAUAGUAAUAGCCAGGUACUCAAAGUAGCGCUGAAUAGACUGAAAAGUAAAAACUUAAUAGGUAUAACUGCAUAAAUAUGAAGGAUAUCACAAUAUCUGGUUGCUGCAAUGCUGUAUCUUAUAUACCUCUUGCUGAAAUUGUUGCCUCCCCUGUGAUGCGUCUGGUCUUAGGAUUUUAAUAGCGACAUUAGUGUGAUCCAACACAGCUUUAUAAACUGGUCCAUAUCCACCUUCGCCUAUCUUGAGUGCCCUGUCAAACUUAUGUGUGGCAGCUUCAAUAUCAUCAAUGGAAUACCUCCUGUACCGGAGAUCUGUGUUCGUUGCUCUCCUUCUCUCCUCCGACUCACGCUUUGCCUUCCAUUCUGCUCUCAAUCUCUUUUGCGCUUCAAGCUCUGCAAUUUUUUGGGCAGCUUCAGCUGCCUCCAGCGCGGCUCUGCACUUUGCCUUCUCCAUUUCAACAAGUGCAAGAGCUUCUUCUUCUGAACUCCUUAGUUCCUGGUACAUUUUAGACUCUUCCACCUUUAUCUGGGACAGCUGAGCCGCCUGCAGUUAGAUUAUUAUUAAUUAUAUCGCGAGAGUUUAGUUGUCUCGGGAAGUGCUUGGUGCUUAUAGUUUAGUCUAUUUAUGUAGAAGUAAACAGUACCUUCUGUUUAGCAUCAAUUGCUUCCUUACAGGCAGUGUUAUACAUUUCCAUUGUCUGCUUCAACUCUAGUCUCAGUCGUCUCAUCUCAGCUUCUACAUCCUUCUGUGUUCAAGUGAAACAAAAUAUGAAUUAAUGAUCUAAUACUUCAUGAGUUCAAAUCAAUGUCCAGGUGCAAAGUUUUUAUUGAUUCUAGAAACUAGAUGUUUACAAUGCUCUUACCCCGGUUGAGCUUAGGCUUUCCAUGGAUACAUACGAUGAUAGUUCCAUCGAAUCAGCGUAGUCCAUGGAAUUCAACUCCAUGCUCAUGGGAAAAUCAACGUCAUCUGAAAAAGAGCUGCGAGUAACAGAAGGCCUCGGUGGUGCGAUGAAGUCUAUGUAGUCGUCGAAAUCCUUCUGGGGUGCUUGCCUUCCAGAUAGGAGAUGCCUAUCUCUCGUUGGAGCUUUUGCAUAGGCAGAUAGUCGGUCCACCGAUGUUCUACUUGUUCUUGGUGAUGAUGGAUUAGAAAAUUUCCUCCAGUCUCUUGACGAUCUAUUUUACAAAACAAGAUUGUUGAUUAUAAUUACGUUAACAAGACGCAUGUUUCUGAGCGUGUUCGAAAAAAGUUGCAUUAACAAGCUAUUCAGUUAAAACAUGGGUGUUAACACUUAACAAGUUCUGGUAAGCAGACACAUCUGACCGAUCAGAUAAUUUUUUUAAUCUAUAAGUAUGUAAGUGUUUACAUUGUGGCUACCCAUUUAGCUUCAGGAACACGCAGUGUACUUAUUGAAGUGCUAUUUUUCUUCUUUACAAACUUACCUUGCAAAUGCAUCGGAUUCUAUGUUUGGUUGGGAGGUUUGCUUCGGAGGAAGAGUAGUAAAGGGUGCUGGACCUUUGGCUGCCUUGACUUGGAUGGCCUUCCCUUUAUGUAUUACAUGUACCGUGCAGUAAUCAGGCGCCAUCUUCAUCAAGCAUGUUGGUACAUCAGGAUUUCUAAAUCUUCUGCACAGUGUAAAGGUCAUGCCUGUGUUCAGUAUAGGUAUCAAAGGAAUGUAAUGUGGCACAGCCAUGGAGAAUGUAUGAGUAUGUACCUGAUGAAUGUGUUCCUUGUUGAUGCCCCAACUACGAUAUCUGUGAUGGCGUUACCAGUAGCAUAAUCAAUUAUUGCUUUGGAGAUAUCAGUACCAUCCAAGAUCACCUCAUUCAGAUGCAUCUGCGAUUUGCAAUGGCAGCCUAAGUACUUUUCAGCAUAUAAUGAGAAGGAGAAAUGUACCAACCAUUCUGGGUACUUUGGUUGGUCCUGACAUGGACCAACUGGAGGGUGCUGCCCCUUGCCAGUAGCCGAUCUACCGCCCAUUUCGCCGCCUGCUGGCUGUUCUUGUCCCUGUCAACGGCCACGAUGGUCGUGCUGUCCUUCCCAUCCUCAGGCUCCCCGCUGUGCGACGCUGUCGAGAAGGCCGAGAGGUACAUUUCUAAGCUCUCCGACCAACAAAUGAAGUAACAGAUGACACAAAUCGGUACAGUGGAGGGGAGAGAGAGACAAAAGGGGAAUUUUGUCCCUCCUCCUCUCCCUUUGCUUAUUUCUCCUUGGAUCUCUCGUCGUUCCUUACUGCUGCGACCAAACUGGCUGAAACUGCAAUGUUGUUUUAGAAAGUUUGUGUUGUUUUUCCAAGUUUGGGCGCAGCGUUGUCGUGAGAAUCUUCUUAUUUUUGUGUGGCUCCUGUUUCCCUGGUUGUUAUGUAAGGGGGGUGUGUAGGUGGAGGACGACCUGUUCAAUGCCACCUUGUUGCUUGUUGCUAAGAAUAGCAGCUGAUGGCGCUAGCUGAAUUCCUUCUGAGUUGUUUGUCGACACAACUAUUUUGAAUGUAGUUUACCUUAUGCAUCUGAAAUAUACCAGGUGGUCGUUGCUGCAAAAAUUGUUUGCAGUAUCUAUCUAUGGCAGGUUGGGCGAUGCAUAAAUAUUUGGUAAUAGUUUCUAUAUACUCCAGUAUGUACCUUAUGGCAAUGAAUAUUUGAGAUGACAUGGCCGCAACAGAAACUGAGAUUUGAUAGCUCUACUUGGAGUUAGUUGGAUCACUUGUCCAGAUACUAUCAUAUAUAAUCAAGGUUUGUAGAUAGCUGGUCACGCCUGCCGCGGCAAUUGUCUAGAUAGUAACCGAAAGACACCGAAUAAUAGAGGUGAUGUGGGGCUGGAGAGGAGAAAAUCAGUAUUGGUUACAAUUACAGGUGUAACCUCAAGUUACAUAGGUCUCACUUGGGAUAUUUUUCAAUAAGUUUGACACGGCCUGUUGGAAAAAAAUGAGUAAGAGAUUUCCUGUCCCUCCUGUAAUUUGACCAACUUUUAGAACAUUUUAUGUGUUUCCUGUUUGAAAUUUGACCAAAUUUUCUCAUUCUUUGCAGGCACACGGUGGUCUCUCCUGUGAAUUUCCGUAGUGUGGAUGCAUCGUCUUUUCAUGCUCUAAUCUCGUGUAAACAUGCAUGCUCAUGCAACUUGGGAGGUGAUGCCUUCAGAGUGGAAUCUGCCAUCUAAUGAUAAGUUGAUAGAUACAGGAGAAAUUAUUUGUUCACCAUUAUAAAGGAAUGUAUUCACCUGGAAAUAUCUGCAAAGGAAACUAAACGAUUCAUCCGAAAAUUAGGAGCUCAUUCCACAAGUAAUGUUAUUUUAUGAGGAUUGCAGUUUAUUACGGUUUUGUGUGGCUCCUGCUUCCCUGGUUGUGUUAAGUAAGGGGUGUCUAGGUGGAGGACGACUUGUUCAAUGCCACCUUGUUGCUAAGAAUAGCAGGUGACAAGGUAUCACUGGGCCACUAGCUAAGUUCCUUCGAAAUUGUUUGUCAACAUGGCUACUUUGAAUGUAGUUACCUCAUGCAUUUGCAAAAUACCAGAUGUGGUUGCACGAAUUGUUGCAGUGUCUAUCUAUGGCAGGUUUAUGCGUACAUUUGGUAAUAGCUGCCAUAUAGGAAAUUACCUGUAUCUACCAAAUGUGUACCUUAUGACAAUGAAUAAUUGAGAUGGCAUGGCUGAAAUA